AAUUCCGCACCAACUCAAUAGUAUCCUUUUUCUUCUGUAUAAAUUGUAAUGUUGUUUAGCUUCUCCUGGACAAUUCACAAGGAAGCUCUCCUAGACCUAGUCCUAGUUAGCAAACAUAGCCAUCAUCAGUGUCGGGAUUUGUAACUUCUUCAACUAGUCUAAGCCAAUACUGUCUGUCCGGAAACUCUCCUAGUUCUAGUUAGUAAUCACGGUCAGCAUCAGUGUUGGGACUUGUAACUUCUUCAACUUGUCUAUGGCAAUAUUUUCUGUCUGAAAGGAAACAUUGUUAUUAGAUUCUAUCUUUCACUUCAAACUUGCUACCCCAACAAAAUGACACAAUCUUGUCUCAACUACAAGUGGUUUUUCUUAAUAUUCUUUCAUGGGAUUCUUCUUAUGUGUAUGAGCU